rnacentral:rRNA from 1 species
AGUGAACGCUGGCGGUAGGCCUAACACAUGCAAGUCGAACGGCAGCACAGUAAGAGCUUGCUCUUACGGGUGGCGAGUGGCGGGGGGGUGAGGAACACAUGGAAAUCCUCUUUUUCGGGGGGGAACGCGGAGGAACAUAUACUAUUAUCGCACAUGACAUCCGCGUGUGAGCGCAGGGGCUCUUCACAUCUCGCGCGAGAGUGUGAGGAGAUGUCGGAUUCGCUAGUGGGCGGGGUAAAGGCCCACCAAGGCGACGAUCUGUAGCUGGUGUGAGAGGAUGAUCAGCCACACUGGAACUGAGACACGGUCCAGACUCCUACGGGAGGCAGCAGUGGGGAAUAUUGGACAAUGGGCGCAAGCCUGAUCCAGCCAUACCGCGUGGGUGAAGAAGGCCUUCGGGUUGUAAAGCCCUUUUGUUGGGAAAGAAAAGCAGCAGGUUAAUACCCCGCUGUUCUGACGGUACCCAAAGAAUAAGCACCGGCUAACUUCGUG